rnacentral:rRNA from 1 species
AUUGAACGCUGGCGGCAUGCUUUACACAUGCAAGUCGAACGGUAGCAGGCCGCAAGGUGCUGACGAGUGGCGAACGGGUGAGUAAUGCAUCGGAACGUGCCCAGUCGUGGGGGAUAACGCAGCGAAAGCUGUGCUAAUACCGCAUACGAUCUAUGGAUGAAAGCGGGGGACCGUAAGGCCUCGCGCGAUUGGAGCGGCCGAUGUCAGAAUAGGUAGUUGGUGGGGUAAAGGCUCACCAAGCCAACGAUCUGUAGCUGGUCUGAGAGGACGACCAGCCACACUGGGACUGAGACACGGCCCAGACUCCUACGGGAGGCAGCAGUGGGGAAUUUUGGACAAUGGGCGCAAGCCUGAUCCAGCAAUGCCGCGUGCAGGAAGAAGGCCUUCGGGUUGUAAACUGCUUUUGUACGGAACGAAACGGUCUGGGUUAAUACCCUGGGCUAAUGACGGUACCGUAAGAAUAAGCACCGGCUAACUACGUGCCAGCAGCCGCCGUAACAC